rnacentral:rRNA from 1 species
GUAGGCAGCGAGCGUUGUUCGGAGUUACUGGGCGUAAAGGGUGUGUAGGCGGUUGUUUAAGUUUGGUGUGAAAUCUCCCGGCUCAACUGGGAGGGUGCGCCGAAUACUGAAUGACUAGAGUGCGGGAGAGGAGAGUGGAAUUCCUGGUGUAGCGGUGAAAUGCGUAGAUAUCAGGAGGAACACCGGCGGUGUAGACGGCUCUCUGGACCGUAACUGACGCUGAGACACGAAAGCGUGGGUAGCAAACAGGAUUAGAUACCCUGGUAGUCCACGCCCUAAACGAUGCAUAUUUGGUGUGGGCAGUUCAUUCUGUCCGUGCCGGAGCUAACGCGUUAAAUAUGCCGCCUGGGGAGUACAGUCGCAAGGCUG